rnacentral:rRNA from 1 species
UACGGAGGAUGCGAGCGUUAUCCGGAUUUAUUGGGUUUAAAGGGUGCGUAGGCGGGCAUUUAAGCCGGCGGUCAAAUGUCGGGGCUCAACCCCGGCCCGCCGUUGAAACUGGCAGUCUCGAGUUGGAGAGAAGUAUGCGGAAUGCGCGGUGUAGCGGUGAAAUGCAUAGAUAUCGCGCAGAACCCCGAUUGCGAAGGCAGCCUGCCGGCCCCACACUGACGCUGAGGCACGAAAGCGUGGGUAUCGAACAGG